UGCCCUCACCUUGGCCGCCGGCGUGCCAUUGAAGAGUGUAUUGUUCUGGUCCCUUUCCUAGCCCUGUGCUACCUUUGCUGGUUCCUUCCCUGCCCGAUUCUGAUGAUUACCUAGCCAGUAGUGUUCUUCCUCUUGCAGCGGAUAAGUUGUGGCUCUUCGAGGAUAGCUCACAUUGCUUAGUUGCGCAGAGAACUAGGAGAUCUCAUCUAACUAUCUUGGCUGAGCUUGUUCAAUUGACAAGGCGGUGGUAACUUCAGAAUUUCAUGAAUGAGAAUAUUGUUUAUAUUGUCAGAAGUUCACAUCAUGUGCCUUCCCUUCAGUUUUCACAUGAAACUAAUUUUUCUCCCAUGUUUAGAAUUUAUACGUAAGUGUUGACCGACUCUUCAUGUUCAUUGCCUACUUCGACAUUAUUUUUUUAAG